rnacentral:rRNA from 1 species
CAAACGACUCUCGGCAACGGAUAUCUCGGCUCUUGCAUCGAUGAAGAACGUAGCGAAAUGCGAUACUUGGUGUGAAUUGCAGAAUCCCGUGAACCAUCGAGUCUUUGAACGUAAGUUGCGCCCGAGGCCAUUGGGUCGAGGGCACGUCUGCCUGGGCGUCACAC